rnacentral:misc_RNA from 1 species
CCAGAUGUACAUCCCACCAAGACCUCCAAAAAAUCAUGGGGGUUAAAUACGAAGCCAAAGAAAAUACAAAUUGAGAUCAUUUGUUAUGAAAUGUUUUAUUAUUAAUCUGUUGUUAGUUGUUAUUUUUACAUUAAAAACGUUUCCCUUUUAUAAUUUCAUCACUUUCAUUGUUUUAGAUUGCAAGUUAAUCAUUAAGUUAUUGUUUGUUUUUGUUUUGUUGUGAGGAUCCCUUCUGUUUAAUAAAAUGUAUGCAAUUUU